rnacentral:rRNA from 1 species
ACGGAAGGCAGCAGUGAGGAAUAUUGGUCAAUGGACGCAAGUCUGAACCAGCCAUGCCGCGUGCAGGAAUAAGGCCCUAUGGGUCGUAAACUGCUUUUGUGGUGGAGCAAUAAGUCGUACGUGUACGGCGAUGAGAGUACAUCACGAAUAAGCAUCGGCUAACUCCGUGCCAGCAGCCGCGGUAAUACGGAGGAUGCAAGCGUUAUCCGGAUUUAUUGGGUUUAAAGGGUGCGUAGGCUGUGGUCCAAGUCAGGGGUGAAAGCCCGGAGCUCAACUCCGGAACUGCCUUUGAUACUGGAUUGCUGGAAUACGGAGGCCGUGGGAGGAAUGAGUAGUGUAGCGGUGAAAUGCAUAGAUAUUACUCAGAACACCGAUUGCGAAGGCAUCUCACGAAUCCGUCAUUGACGCUGAGGCACGAAAGCGUGGGGAUCAAACAGGAUUAGAUACCCUGGUA